GACGAACGCUGGCGGCGUGCCUAAUACAUGCAAGUUGAGCGCUGAAGGUUGGUACUUGUACCGACUGGAUGAGCAGCGAACGGGUGGGUAACGCGUGGGGAAUCUGCCUUUGAGCGGGGGACAACAUUUGGAAACGAAUGCUAAUACCGCAUAAAAACUUUAAACACAAGUUUUACGUUUGAAAGAUGCAAUUGCAUCACUCAAAGAUGAUCCCGCGUUGUAUUAGCUAGUUGGUGAGGUAAAGGCUCACCAAGGCGAUGAUACAUAGCCGACCUGAGAGGGUGAUCGGCCACAUUGGGACUGAGACACGGCCCAAACUCCUACGGGAGGCAGCAGUAGGGAAUCUUCGGCAAUGGACGAAAGUCUGACCGAGCAACGCCGCGUGAGUGAAGAAGGUUUUCGGAUCGGAAAACUCUGUUGGUAGAGAAGAACGUUGGUGAGAGUGGAAAGCUCAUCAAGUGACGGUAACUACCCAGAAAGGGACGGCUAACUACGUG
rnacentral:rRNA from 1 species